rnacentral:tRNA from 1 species
GGAGGGGUAGCGAAGUGGCUAAACGCGACGGACUGUAAAUCCGUUCCUUCGGGUUCGGCGGUUCGAAUCCGCCCCCUUCCACCA